CGGCCACAUUGGGACUGAGACACGGCCCAGACUCCUACGGGAGGCAGCAGUGGGGAAUAUUGCACAAUGGGGGAAACCCUGAUGCAGCGACGCCGCGUGGAGGAAGAAGGUCUUCGGAUUGUAAACUCCUGUUGUUGGGGAAGAUAAUGACGGUACCCAACAAGGAAGUGACGGCUAACUACGUGCCAGCAGCCGCGGUAAAACGUAGGUCACAAGCGUUGUCCGGAAUUACUGGGUGUAAAGGGAGCGCAGGCGGGAAGACAAGUUGGAAGUGAAAUCUAUGGGCUCAACCCAUAAACUGCUUUCAAAACUGUUUUUCUUGAGUAGUGCAGAGGUAGGCGGAAUUCCCGGUGUAGCGGUGGAAUGCGUAGAUAUCGGGAGGAACACCAGUGGCGAAGGCGGUCUACUGGGCACCAACUGACGCUGAGGCUCGAAAGCAUGGGUAGCAAACAGGAUUAGAUACCCUGGUAGUCCAUGCCGUAAACGAUGAUUACUAGGUGUUGGAGGAUUGACCCCUUCAGUGCCGCAGUUAACACAAUAAGUAAUCCACCUGGGGAGUACGACCGCAAGGUUGAAACUCAAAGGAAUUGACGGGGGCCCGCACAAGCAGUGGAGUAUGUGGUUUAAUUCGACGCAACGCGAAGAACCUUACCAAGUCUUGACAUCCCUUGACAGGCAUAGAAAUAUGUUUUCUCUUCGGAGCAAGGAGACAGGUGGUGCAUGGUUGUCGUCAGCUCGUGUCGUGAGAUGUUGGGUUAAGUCCCGCAACGAGCGCAACCCUUAUGGUCAGUUACUACGCAAGAGGACUCUGGCCAGACUGCCGUUGACAAAACGGAGGAAGGUGGGGAUGACGUCAAAUCAUCAUGCCCUUUAUGACUUGGGCUACACACGUACUACAAUGGCGUUAAACAAAGAGAAGCAAGACCGCGAGGUGGAGCAAAACUCAGAAACAACGUCCCAGUUCGGACUGCAGGCUGCAACUCGCCUGCACGAAGUCGGAAUUGCUAGUAAUCGUGGAUCAGCAUGCCACGGUGAAUACGUUCCCGGGCCUUGUACACACCGCCCGUCACACCAUGAGAGCCGGGGGGACCCGAAGUCGGUAGUCUAACCGCAAGGAGGACGCCGCCGAAGGUAAAACUGGUGAUUGGGGUGAAGUCGUAACAAGGUAGCCGUAGGAGAACCUGCGGCUG
rnacentral:rRNA from 1 species